rnacentral:misc_RNA from 1 species
CGGAGGAUGUUGUAUGCUUCACAACAAUAUGAUUUGAACCUGGUAUAAUAUUGGCUUUCUGCGCCACCCAUAGCCUCAACCAUUUCCUUACAGAGCUUCAUUGGUGGAGGAAAUGGUUUAGGAUCCCGUCCAAGAAUGAAACCAAAAUCGACAUGGAAAAGACGCCCAUCAUCCCUAAGGAGAAGGUUAUCAAGGUGCCGGUCCCCAAUUCCCAAUAUGUAUGUGAUGACAGAGUAUCCAGCACAACUUUUAAUAAAUGUUUCAAGACAAGUGGCUGUAAUCCCAAAUGGUCCAUGUUCAUCAGGAUGAAACUUCUGCAAAUAGCUUAUAAUGCUUCGAUGCUCUGAGAGAAUCUGAGCUAAUGAUCGUGAUGGUAUGAAUUCAAGCAUGCCUUCAUCUUGUCCAGUAGCAAGCACCUUAUAUGGAGUUAAGUGCAGAUCGAGGUUUUCCAGUUUAAGUAGUCGAUCCAUUAGAGAUACCAUUUGAACAACCAAUUGAUCUUGCCGAAUAUCAUCACCCUUCUUAAAUAUGAUUUUGCUAGUUCCACCACAUUGUGUUCGGAAAGUCAAACGCAAUGGAUGGAGUGCGCUUUUAAAUAUUGAUGACUCUGAUGGUACAAUCCCAGUGAUAAGGACACCAGGUGCAAGUGGUGAUCGUAUUGGCUCUUCAAAAUAGGUUAGCUCACUGAGAAGACCAGAGAGAAGUUGUCUAAGCUUUUCAAUUUUUUUUU